GAAUUUGACAAAUAAUCCAUAGAAAGCACAAAUGAGCAAACAGCAAGAAAUGACUAGAUUAUGCCACCUUCACACUGAAAUCCUAGGAGGAUCAUACCAAAUUAAAAACAUCAAUUCAUAUUCAGGUACUAAUGCACUGACUUUUCCAGUGGGCUGAAGAUUGUCACUACCCAUAGACUUCAAAAGGAAUUAUGGAUGAUCAAUUUGGAUCUUAAAAUAGAUGUAGGAAGGUUAAGUACAGUGUCUCUCACACAGGGCAUCAGCCAUGGUGGGAUUUCAGUCCUGGAGAAAGUCAAAAAUAGAAGGAGAAGGAGAAGGAGAAGGAGAAGGAGGAGUUUUCUCUGGAAGGUUUGUAGGCAGUGGUGGUCUGGAAUGAACAGCUCAGUGUGAGCAGGGGAGAGGCACGAGAUGUGUUGUGAAGACUGUGACACAGCUAUCGGGAAUCACUCAGGCACACCGAGGACUACGGGGACACCAGCGUGAUUUGUACCAAGUCUAAUGGAAAAAUCAAUUCAUUCAUUCUUGAAGAAGAAACAAAACUGCAUUAACAAACCUUCUCUGGUCAGUGCUAUUUAAAUCUUUAAUUAGCAGAAAAGGGGAGAACAUCAGAACAAGGAGGCGGCUAUAAAAUGAUUCCCUGUGGAGGAGGGAUUGACCAGGUUUUGCUCUCCCUCUGAGUUCUGUGGGGAAACCAGACAUUCAGCUCCAAGCUGGCAGUGCUGGAAUAUGCAGUGUGACACUGAGAAGCCAGCUGUGGCACAUUUCUUCCCUAAUCCAGCCCCUGGCACUGUCUUCAGAAGAGACUGAUGUGAACAGGAGGCUCCUCUACAAAAACUCUGGAGCUCUUAUUUUCUCAGGAACAGGCAGCCUGUAGAGCAUAUUUUUGAGAGAUGGCUGAGAAAAUUUUGUUUCAGAAGGCAUAAAGACCAUGACACCAUGACAUAAUCACCUAAGAACACAAAUCUCCCCAAAGAAGCAGCUGAAACCACGACUCAUGCAAUCAUCUGGCCAUAGUGCAGCAUAGCUGUAUUAUGUCAAGGCAGCAGCGAGAAGCCACCUCCAGAACCCCUGUGGGGUGACAUCACACCAACCCCACCGCCCGUGGGGACACACUUUUCUCUUCAAAAGGCAAGAAGCAGCAGCUACUGCAGGUUUCACCAGGAAGUGGUGACUACUUGACUUGACAAACAGAAGUUAACAACAGCAUCACCCUGAGCUCUGUGGCUUGGGCUUCAGCUGAGCGAAGCCCUAAGGGAUGCUCCACGACCAAGCUUGAUGCCACAAGGACAGCAGGGUGGACACUGGAUACACGGCCACCAGCACCACCACUACCACAAACGCCAUGCUGCUCCAGCAGAAGGCUUCACUACUACUGCUGCUUGCUCUUUGUACAAUUUGGCCUUGUCUUCAGCCAGGACCUCAGGCAGAAAAGUGCAUAUUCACUGGAAACAGUCAGAGAAGUGAUACAGUGGUCCAUCAAUAACACAACACCUCCAGCACCUCUCAGAUAUCUGCAGGAGAGAUAAAGAUAACUACAAGUAUCAUAAACCUCUUGUACAAUAUCCACAUCUUCUUUUAAUUAAUUAUUCUGAUACCAAGCACAAAGGUGACAGACAACUGUAGAGAUCAAACUGAUCUCUUGGUGUAGACAUCAAACUGAUUUAAUCUGGAGUUACUCCAGUCUCUGUCAAACUCGGCUAAGAAUCAGACGCUUUAUCUUUUAAUUUCAAUGGUUUAUUUUGUUUCUUGGUUGUUUUUUAAUUUUUAUUUUCCCCAAGAAGCUAAUGUGAACUUGAAAUGUAAAGUGAUUUUAUUUUGAGGAGCACAAAGUAAAUAGGUAUUAUUUUAAGGAUAAUGUUCUGAAUUAGACAAAUAGCAUUUAUAAACUGAAGUUUUUUGAAAGAAAGCAUGCUUCAUUGGAUGACAUUUGCUAAAAACACUUCCAUUUGUCAUGUCUUGAUGCCUCCACAGCUUAUUUAUGACACUCUUAAUGCUGUCUGCUCUGGUGGUGAAGCUCCCAUCUAAGUAGUAAUAUAAAUCAGCAGGAUGCCAAAAGUUAACCACACUGCAACAUUUUAAUGUUGCUGGGUAAGAGAGACUCACGAACACAAACCACUGAAAAAUCGAUACUAAAACAGCAUCCAGUCAUGCCAAAUGGCUCUGACCUUCUUUCCCCUUAGAGCUUCAUCAUGGCCAGGGGUUUGGUUAGCAGUGGGGUCCUGUGCCUGCUGCAGAAAAGGAGGGCAGUACCCAUGGUGCAGUGAAUUGCACUUCAUACGAGUCAGGAUCAGAUAAUGGACUCAGCUCCUUGUACUACUGGGGGUGAUGGCUGGAGUCCCAUCC